rnacentral:rRNA from 1 species
UACAGAGACUGCAAGCGUUAUUCGGAUUCACUGGGCGUAAAGGGUGCGCGGGCGGUUGGGUGUGUCAGAUGUGAAAUCCCGAGGCUUAACCUCGGAACUGCGUCUGAAACUACUCGACUAGAGUACUGGAGAGGGUAACGGAAUUCACGGUGUAGCAGUGAAAUGCGUAGAUAUCGUGAGGAACACCAGAGGCGAAGGCGGUUACCUGGACAGUUACUGACACUGAGGCACGAAGGCCAGGGGAGCAAACGGG